rnacentral:rRNA from 1 species
GACGAACGCUGGCGGCGUGCCUAAUACAUGCAAGUAGAACGCUGAAGGAGGAGCUUGCUUCUCUGGAUGAGUUGCGAACGGGUGAGUAACGCGUAGGUAACCUGCCUGGUAGCGGGGGAUAACUAUUGGAAACGAUAGCUAAUACCGCAUAAUAUUGACUAUUGCAUGAUAGUCAGUUGAAAGGUGCAACUGCACCACUACCAGAUGGACCUGCGUUGUAUUAGCUAGUUGGUGGGGUAACGGCUCACCAAGGCGACGAUACAUAGCCGACCUGAGAGGGUGAUCGGCCACACUGGGACUGAGACACGGCCCAGACUCCUACGGGAGGCAGCAGUAGGGAAUCUUCGGCAAUGGACGGAAGUCUGACCGAGCAACGCCGCGGGAGUGAAGAAGGGUUUCGGAUCGUAAAGCUCUGUUGUAAGAGAAGAACGAGUGUGAGAGUGGAAAGCUCACACUGUGACGGUAUCUUACCAGAAAGAGACGGCUAACUACGUG